rnacentral:misc_RNA from 1 species
CCGAGUUUACAACUCCCAAACCCAAUGUGAACGUUACCAAACUGUUGCCUCGGCGGGAUUUCUGCCCCGGGCGCGUCGCAGCCCCGGACCAAGGCGCCCGCCGGAGGACCAAUUUACAAACUCUUUGUAUGUCCCUCUGCGGAUUUUUAUUAUACAUUCUGAGCUUUCUCGGCGCUCCUAGCGAGCGGUUCGAAAAUGAAUCA